GGUCGAUUAGUGUAGUUGGUUAUCACAUCGGAUUCUGAUCAUGCUUAGAUCUACCUUCCGGUAACCGGGGUUCGAAUCCCCGAUUGACCU